CCUCUAUCCUUUCACAUUGUGCAAAGAGCCAUAAAGGAAAUGGAACGGUUCAGCCCUCUCUGAACCAGACAGGUUGGUGGAAGAUGGUACAGAGAGUGUUCCAGGCUGUGGGAACUGUGCAUACAAAAGCCCUGAGAUGGGAAAAAGCUCAGAGUCUUAACUUUCAGGUAUUCAAUCUGUCAGCAAGUCUUUUUGGUUCUGCUUUCCUAAUAUAUCCAGAAUCAUUCACUUCUCGCCACCAUCCUGUGCCAAGAAAUGGAAGUAGAACAGCGUGGCCACAGCCCAGAAGGAAAGGGGAAGUGGCCUGAGAUGUUGGCAGGGGCCAGAUCAUGCAGGACUUGGGAGGCCCUGGAAAGGAGUCUGGCUGAAGUGGAAAUGCUGUGAGAAGCCACAUAAAUGUAGAGUUUCAACAAGCGAGCGAUGAGAUGUGAUUUGUAUUCUAAGACCAGGUCUUCCUGAGAAGAGGAAGCACCGGGGGCAAAUCAGAGCAGAGAUACAUGUUGACUCGGACCCCAAGGAGAAUGUUUAUGUGAACAGGUCAUCGUACUGGCUGGAGGCCGCUCAGGGAAGAGGUAGAGUUACACUUCCGGGUUUGAAUCCUUGCUCCACCACCUACUUGCCUGUGGGAUCCUGGGUGCCUAAAUUUCUGACUGACUUUCUUUCGGUCAUGGUCAAGGAGUGAGAUGAGGCAACCGUGACACCUGCCUUCCAGAAGCUUCCCUCUUUGACUCUCCUCGAAACUCAGGGGGUGGCUGAGAUGUUCUGUCAGACUUCUUCCUCUCCACCCCACAGGAACCAGGCCCAGGGAGCCGGGGUGACUUCUCAGAGUCACAUGACACAUGCGGCCAGCCUGAGUCCAGGGCUCUGGCCGUGACCCCAAGAACCAGGAAUGUGCCUGCCUCUGACUCCUUGAAGGGAUUUAUUCAUUCUGAAGACACUGUUUUCUGCUCCUCAGAGCCAUCUUGUUGAGGCAGAGGGUGACCAGCGGCCCCCCACCCUCCCCAGGAUGUUCAACAGAGGGGUCUCCUGGGCUGUGGGAUUUUGGGCUCUAAAACUGGGCAAAUUGAGAUGAGUUGGUCCCCCUCUGUGAGCCCUCCCACAAGCACCCAGUCACCUGCUCAGACGGGCCUCGGAGACCUGGCCUGACUCCUCCAGGAGCCACACGCUCUUCCAUCUCACUGCCAGGGCUGAUGAGGAAACUAGAAGCUCCUCUUCGUAUUUGAGACAGAAAAUAUACACCAUUCAGGAAAUUGGUGGGAAAACUGAGACACCAAAUAGGGGAGUGGAAAAACUCAGAGAUUAGCAAUAACCAAUGGCGCCAAGACCAUUUUCUGGCUGCAGUGACAGAGGGAGGAGGUAGGGCUCCUGGCCCCCUGGGGGUGGGGGGUCACCCUUGUAGGGUUGGGGGUCACUCUUGGACGUUGAAGUCAGGUGGACCUGACCUGGGGAAGCUGGAGUCACCAGAGACCGAGCCACCUGCGGAGGCGCUGCUGCUGGGACAGAGGGAACCACCGUGCUGGCCGCUUUCCACCCCUUGCCCUCGGUCUUGCAGCAGGGGUUUCUCCUCAUAUGUGGAAGGUCCAGGGGCUGGGGACUGUGAGCAGAAGCCUGGCUCAUUGGGCAGGCAGGAGAACUUCCCUCAGGCCUGGGUUUCUCAUCCUGGGGGAGCCAGGCUUCUUCGCAUGUCAGCUCCAGUGCUGACACACGGGUUUGGAAUCAAACCCCCGUGACAAUCAGCUACUUGAAUCAAAGAAGCUCAGCCUCAUCAAACAUUUAAGCUGAAAGGCAUCUCCAAGAUCAGGGGAACAGAAGCCGGACUGCUGACGGAGAGACAGUGGCGCCAGUGUCAGGCCCAGAAGCGGGUCCAACUGCUGCUCAGGCUGGGGCAGCUUCCGCCACCGGCCACCUUGGCCCUCACGCCCAUCCCGGGAAAGGAGGCCGUGGUCCCACUGCGCAGGCGCACCCACGGACAGCGCGAGCCAGAUCCAGCCCUUCCCUUGACAGUGGGGACAUGCGCUUGAGACUCCUGCCUCUAGGAGGCUAAUGGCUGUAAUUACAAAUGCUUAUUGCAAGAAAAGGAAAACUUAGCAAAAACAAGUAAAGUCUAGAAGUUCUGAUUCCAUCUUUAUCCAGAACAAUGACAGGAGGGAGUACCGAAAAAUCCAACACUUUGAUUUCGUGAGAUGAUGGGAUUCAGCUGAACGAAAAUUUUUUCUUAACUUUUGGUCCCCAACAAUAUUGCGCUGCUUCGGCAAGCUUUAUAUCUCACAUAUACAAUGUGCGUGUUUAUUCAACAAAUAUUUAUUGUGUACCUACCAUUCAGUCACUCUGCAGACGUUUAUUAGAUGCUUAAUAUUGAGCGAGGCGCUGUGCCCGUGGUGAGUGAAGCGGGCGUAAUUGGCGUUGUCGCCAAGCUCACCCUCUGUGUGUCCCAGGUCCUGGGGAGGGCACUCCCUCUGUCUUCAUCUUCUCCCCUCCUCCCUUCCUUGUUUCCCAAGUCCCGCCACCCUGGGAGGCAAAAUGUGAUGCCCUGAAUAGUGAUGGAUGGUGUUUCUUCCAUGUUUGCCAUGUCUGCUUUUGCAAAUUUCUCAUCCUCUCUGCAAAGCCCACCUCCAAGAAUUCACUGAUAUAUCACAGGAAGCAUAACUUCAAAAAAUUCUCCCCUGGAGUUCCUGUGGUCAUGAACCCUAUUAGCCUCCAUGAA